AAACAUCUGUUCAAGCCAGACUACUUUUUCACUGUGAGAGCUCAGCGUCUAACACAGUUGCAGCUGAGUGGUCCAUGGCCUAUAGUUGGUAGUGGACUGCAAUCAAAUUUCAGUGAGCCAAACAAGAGUCAAGUGACACAAUCAUCUGACCACAACCGAGCUUUUAUGAGAAUAAGAAAAAGCAAGCUUUGACCCAGCAACGGAAGUUAAAAUCAUUC